UAAGUUGGUCGCCUUGUCGCUAUAUUUAUAUAGAGGAAAGUCCGAACACCAUAGUGCAUCAUAGUGGUUAAUUGCCACCGAUUGUAAAAUCAGGAAUAGUGCAACAGAAAGUAUGUACAGGUAAUGCUGUAGUGAAAUCAUGUAAACUCUAUGAGGUGCAAUGCCAUGUAAACCAGCUAUAAGAGUAGCGCGCUCANUGUUGGAGGGUAGGCAGCUAGAAUAAAUUGGCAACAAUUUAUCAAGAUAAAUGACAAGGACUUGAAAAAGUACAGAAUUCGGCUUAUAGACCUACUUAUUUA
rnacentral:RNase_P_RNA from 1 species